CCAGAAAUGCGGUACCAGCGUGCGUGCCUACAGCCAAUUUCCCUCUUUGAAAAGCUCAGUCCCAUCCUCCGGAGGGCCCAACCCGCAACGCCAAAGUUAACCCCUUCGGUGAUUCUGCCGGAGGUCUCCCGGGACCCAAGGGAAUCACACCCAUGUGUCCCACAGCCCCCAGGUUAAGGGAGGGCUUGGGUUCUGCUUCCAACCCAGAUAAGAGAGCCAAAGAGAAACACGAAUAAGCAGGCUCAAGCAUUACUGCCUACAGCAAAGAACUUGAACUUGGGCUUGGACGUCAUGGGAGAGGGAACAAACCGGGAACCGCCUCAGACCCCAUAACUGAGGCUGGUUUCGCAUGGAGCCCGGUGCCAGGACGCGCUCUAGCUGCCUCCGCACCCCACCUACACCCCAGCCCCCCAGAGCAAACGCAGAGCCAACAGCCGCCCGAAGCAGCCGCCUUGAUUUACAGUCAAGCUGCCCUGCCUCACCUCCUACCUCCGCCCCAGUCACCAGUACAUGAAAUGAAAGGCUGCAGAUAAAUGAAGAGGCAGGGAGAUUGGACACACUGACUCAUCUAGAAAAUCAUUUUCCUUCUGAAUCUGCAUCUUCUGGGGAGCACACAUCUGUUAUCGUGUGUCAGGGCCAGGAGGAGGCAUUCCCCGGCCCCUGACUUGUCUUUGCUGGGGACCCAGAGGGACCACUCACCGUAAGACUUGCUGAGGACAAUCGCACCAUUAUCCACGGCACAGAAAUGGUGGCAUAGCAAGACCUCAGGCCUCAGAGGGCCACAGAAUCCUUCCAAAUCCUCUGUGAAAGUGUUCACCCUCUAACCAAGUUUUUGGAUGUUGGAG